GUCAAUAUUUCGUUUUAAUUUCUGCACUAUAGUGCAAUAUAGUGCACAUACUUCUCCUGACGACGAGUGACAAGACUGGCAAGAAAUCAGCAACCUAACCUACAGAACCUUUUGCUCAUAAAAUUCUCGUAAAAUGUCUGCAAUUAAAGUUAGAACUAGAAGUGGAGUCAAUAUUCACGAGUCUCGCAUUAUACGAUGCCAGAGAAAAGAAAAAGGUGUCUGAAAAUUUCUACGUCGAUAUGAAUUCAGAGGGAUUGAAAAGAAUGCUUGGAGGACACAUCGCUUAUAGCAAGUACUUUAGCUAGAAGUUGCGUUUUGAGCAUCAAUAAACCCACUCCCGAUUUGUUUCUUGUCGUACGGCUCGAGAAAGUAUUGCAGGGCGAUAUAUCGGAGUGUGCCGAACCAUAUUUACGUAAAGAUAAAAAUAAAGAUAAGGUCAGAGCUGCCGCCGCUGCUGCGUGCGAACGCCUGGGUCGUUAUAGAAUGCCUCUCGCGUGGACUGCAAUUCAUCUGUCUGGUGUAAUCGAAGGCGGUGGUGAUACGGAUAGCACUGAUAGAAAGGCUUAACUAACAUCUUGAUAUUCUUAUAGGCCCAUUACUUUAACAGUCUCGAGCUUCUUCAAGCAGGAAAGCGAACGACUUUGCGAUGAAGAUCUUUAUAAGCUUUUGGUUGAACUACGAAGACCUGGUUCCAACUUGAAACGAUUAAAAUCCUUACCAGAGAUAUUGAAAUUGGAUCUCAGUCCCAGACCCGAAGAACUACCGAGGUGUCUUGAUCCCGACCUUAGAAGAUUAGUUCCAUAUCCGGAUGAAAAGAAUCGACCGAUUAAGGAGAUAGUCUCGAGUUUCCAAGCGAAGUUGUUUUGCCCGAUUUAACGUAUUGUAAUCUUCUAUAUCUUUAUCCCAAGGAAGCAAACUUCAGCUCCAGAACUGGCUCAGCCUGUAAUAGCGUUCAGCAGACACAACUGUUGAGUUUGUCUUAUCAACAAUGUUCACUCGUUUACUGUCUCGCACGCAAUCAGCGCAAUGGUCGAAUAUUCAAGUCGAAAGUUGAAUUACCGAAGAAGUAAUCUAAUCUAGAUUAAUAAGAAAGUUGGAUUUUAAAAGUUUAUUAGAAACUCAGAUUUGAAAAGUUAGAUUCUAAAAAUAUAAUUGCAUAUACAUGUGUGCGCGCACAGCCAUGUGUUUGGAAUUGCAAGUUUUAUUAAGUUUAUUGUAUAUUCGUUAUAACAGUUAUAUUAAAUGUCUUUGUUGAUUAAAAAAAUUGACUUGUUUUACCUUCUUAAAAAAUAAUGGUCUUGUUGAUAAUUAGAGGGAUGAAUAUAUGAUACGAAUAUCUCAAUAUCUGCGAAGAACAAUAAAUAUAUACAUUUACAUACUUAGCGCGCGCGCGUUCCUAUUAAAUGAAAAAUGAUCUCUAAGUAACAAUAAAGUUGUUGGAUUGUCACCGUGAAAUGACCUUUAAGCUUGGCACGCUUCACGCCGUUAUUAUUAUAGAGGCAACAGCGACCGUGCAUGCGUUAACGUUUUGUUUUUUCUCCCCCGGCUCGCCUCUCUUGUCAGUCGCGCACGCCGCAGUAAGCAGCACGUCGUUGUACAAGCAGUUACUCAUGUUCAGUUCGACAAA